rnacentral:rRNA from 1 species
GAUGAACGCUGGCGGUAUGCCUAACACAUGCAAGUCGUACGAGAGUUUUUAACUCUAGUGGCGGACGGGUGAGUAACACGUGAGAAUUUGCCUUUAGGAGGGGGAUAACAAUUGGAAACGAAUGCUAAUACCCCAUAUGCUUUUGAGUGAAAUGGAUUUUAUCCGCCUAGAGAGAAGCUCGCGGCUGAUUAGCUUGUUGGUAAGGUAAGAGCUUACCAAGGCGACGAUCAGUAUCUGGUUUGAGAGGACGAUCAGACACACUGGAACUGAGACACGGUCCAAACUCCUACGGGAGGCAGCAGUGAGGAAUAUUGGUCAAUGGGCGAGAGCCUGAACCAGCCAAGUAGCGUGCAGGAAGACGGCCCUAUGGGUUGUAAACUGCUUUUAUAAGGGAAUAAAGUGAGUCUCGUGAGACUUUUUGCAUGUACCUUAUGAAUAAGGACCGGCUAAUUCCGUG